GAUUAACGCUAGCGGCAGGCAUAAUACAUGCAAGUUGAACGAGAUUAGUUUUAGCAAUAGAACUUUUUUAGUGGCGCACGGGUGCGUAACGCGUAUGCAACCUACCUUAAACAGGGGAAUAGCCUCUCGAAAGAGAGAUUAAUACCGCAUAAUAUAUAUUUAGAGCAUUCUAGAUAUAUUAAACCUACGGGGGUUUAAGAUGGGCAUGCGUGACAUUAGCUAGUUGGUGAGGUAACGGCUCACCAAGGCAACGAUGUCUAGGGGGUCUGAGAGGAUGUCCCCCCACACUGGUACUGAGACACGGACCAGACUCCUACGGGAGGCAGCAGUAGGGAAUAUUGGUCAAUGGAGGCAACUCUGAACCAGCCAUGCCGCGUGCAGGACUAAGGCCCUAUGGGUCGUAAACUGCUUUUGAACGGGAAGAAAUGUAUCUACGUGUAGAUAUUUGACGGUACCGUUAGAAUAAGGAUCGGCUAACUUCGUGCCAGCAGCCGCGGUAAUACGAAGGAUCCAAGCGUUGUCCGGAUUUACUGGGUUUAAAGGGUGCGUAGGCGGACUUAUAAGUCAGUGGUGAAAGCCUUCAGCUUAACUGAAGAACUGCCAUUGAAACUGUAAGUCUCGAGUUCGGUUGAGGUCAUUGGAAUGUAACAUGUAGCGGUGAAAUGCAUAGAUAUGUUACAGAACACCAAUUGCGAAGGCAGAUGACUAAACCGAAACUGACGCUGAGGCACGAAAGCGUGGGGAUCAAACAGGAUUAGAUACCCUGGUAGUCCACGCCCUAAACGUUGAAUACUCGACCUUAGCGAUAUACAGUUAGGGUCCAAGCGAAAGCGUUAAGUAUUCCACCUGGGAAGUACGUUCGCAAGAAUG
rnacentral:rRNA from 1 species